rnacentral:tRNA from 1 species
GUCUGGCUAGCUCAGUCGGUAGAGCAUGAGACUCUUAAUUUCAGGAUUGUGGGUUCGAGCCCCACGUCGGGCG